AAGUUUUAUUCUGGCUUAACAGUUUGGAAAAUGGUGACUUUACAUGCAAUUUUUAAUUUAGAGAGGAUUUAAGUGCAGUAAAUAAAUUUAAUGAUUAAGGAGACUUAGAAUUAGGUAUCAAUGAAAGUAUAGACAAAUCUUGUGCCAGCAGUUGCGGUUAGACAUGAUAUACUUCUAAAUUGGGCUCGGAAAGUAAUUAUCUUUAAGAUUUUGGGUGAAAGUUGGUCAUAUAAGGUGAAAUUUUAUGAUUGAUAAAAUUUUUAUUUGUAAGAAAAGUUAUUAGAUUUUUGUAUUAAACUAGGAUUAGAUACCCUAUUAUUGAGAAUGUAAAAUUAAAUUCCUGAGAAGUAUUAGAGGUUCUUGAAAUUUAAAAAAUUUGGCGGUGUUUUAGUCUAUUCAGAGGAACCUGUCCUGUAAUUGAUGAUCCACGAUAAAUAAAACUUGUUCUUUAAGUUUGUAUAUCGUCGUUAUUUGAAUAUCUUUGGAGAGAAAAAUAUUCAUUAUUUUUAAGAAGAAUAUAAAUCAGAUCAAGGUGCAGUUUACGGACAAGGAGAGAUGGGUUACAAUGAAAAUAUUUAUAUGGUUUGGGAGGUGAAGUUCUUUUAAUAAAUAGGAUUUGAUAGUAAAGUAAAUAAUUUAAUUUAUUUGAUUUGAGCUCUAGAACAUGCACAUAUCGCCCGUCGCUCCUAUUACAAAGUAGGAUAAGUCGUAACAAAGUAGGUGUACCGGAAGGUGUACCUGGAAAGG
rnacentral:ncRNA from 1 species